CAGCUGCAAAUGACCAAACGCUGUGAUUGUUUGUGUGAGACGGAGAAGGGGCAACUAAAUAAGGAGGACAUGAUUCUUCUCACUUGAAGAAGAGCGACAAGUCGAUAAUAGACUGAGUGUAAACUCACCCAGCAUGCGCCAUGUCGUCUGGAAACAUAGCUAACGUCACGUACCUGGGUGAGACUCUCAUGGCCGAAGAGUGAAAGCUCCCCCGGGUGAACCUCAAACGCGACACGCAUCGUGGCCCGGCAUCGGAGUAGUAGCCGCAGCCCGGGUUGGUUCCACCACCGGAGCCAUGAGAUGACGCCGAGGCUCGGCGGAGGGCUUCCCCGGCGAGCUCGGUGGGGGUCCCGCUCAGGAGGAGGAGGAGGGAGCAGGACCGAGGAGCUGUCCGGGUGCUGAGACGGGUUUCCGGCUCGCUUGUACGGCAACAACGUGAGCGCAAUUCUCACCCCAGCGCCACAAUAAAGACAUUCACCGAUGA